AGUGAACGCUGGCGGUAGGCCUAACACAUGCAAGUCGAACGGCAGCACAGUAAGAGCUUGCUCUUACGGGUGGCGAGUGGCGGACGGGUGAGGAAUACAUCGGAAUCUACUUUUUCGUGGGGGAUAACGUAGGGAAACUUACGCUAAUACCGCAUACGACCUACGGGUGAAAGCAGGGGAUCUUCGGACCUUGCGCGAUUGAAUGAGCCGAUGUCGGAUUAGCUAGUUGGCGGGGUAAAGGCCCACCAAGGCGACGAUCCGUAGCUGGUCUGAGAGGAGGAUCAGCCACGCUGGAACUGAGACACGGUCCAGACUCCUACGGGAGGCAGCAGUGGGGAAUAUUGGACAAUGGGCGCAAGCCUGAUCCAGCCAUACCGCGUGUGUGAAGAAGGCCUUCGGGUUGUAAAGCCCUUUUGUUGGGAAAGAAAAGCAGCAGGUUAAUACCCCGCUGUUCUGACGGUACCCAAAGAAUAAGCACCGGCUAACUUCGUG
rnacentral:rRNA from 1 species